CCGCGCUUACCUGCAGCCCUGAUACAGCCACAGACGCUCGCCGUGGGCUCCCGCGUUCGGCAAGCGCGCAGGCCAGGACGGGAUGGACGCGGGGGCACGGGGAGCAGUAAUGGCACUCUGUCAUGGAGUUGUGGUGUGAGGCAACAGAGGGAUGGCUGAAGUUCAUGGUGCUGGAGCACAGCUAGCUUGCGAUCAUCUCCACUGCUACCACCGCUGCUGCUCUUUGACCACAUCCGAAGGGGCUUCACUCCUCUCGGGUUUAUUGUCAGCCUCAUGUAUAGAGAUGGUCUUUUUGCAUAUGGGAAAUAAUCUGCCCCUGUGUUUUGAACAAGCUAAUGAAAUUAAAUUAGUUCAGAAGAGUUCAUAAGCAUUAGAACAAUGAGGUGCUCGACAUUUUUAGUUUUGUAUCAGUUAUUCCUUGCAUUUAUGUUUAUACAACCUGUGCUCUGCCUGCCUGGUCCUUGCUUAUCAUUGGGACUCACAGGAAUAAAUCUAAUAAAGGGACCAUUCUCAUGGGCAGGAGGAGCAGGGAUGGGAAAUCCCUGCCUAUGCCAGCACCGUUAGCACCUAGCACCUAUGAGACUCAUAGAAAACACCAGUCGAUAGCAAGAAUCAACCUGGAAUUCAGUAUUAAAGAGUACAUUGUGAAGUUGGUAGGGAUCAAGGCCCUCCUGAAAUACAUUGAAAUGUGAAGCCUUUGAUGGAAGUGUUCUUCCUUUUCUACUAACAAUGGCUGUCAUUCUAGAUGGGAGACAAGUGCUGGGGUCACUCAGAGCAUGCUGUUUUUCACACAGGAUGCUCAUAGUCUCUGAAAGAAAACCUGUUUCUGAGAAUUGUGAGACUGGAAUAUGGGACAUAUAGUAUGGCAUGUGGAAUGCCAGGGCUUUGACAGAUACAAAACAGCCUUUUAAGGGACAGUUGAAAGUUGUCCUGUUAUUUGGGGUUCUUACCAGUGAGUGGAGUUGAUGUCUCCAUCACACUGACCGUGGCAUCUACUGUUGGUUUUGACUGUGGAUACCAGUAGUAGAGAUUGGGCAACUUCUAAGUAGUGUUUUUGAAUAAUCUGUAUUCUAUUCCUCAUGCUCUUGGUCAUCUGUGUUUAAAGGAACACUCAGGUCACCAUCUCCUCUGCCGCCUUGAAUGACUAACAGAUCUUAAAAAAUGAGACCCAUUGCACAUGAACUGAACCUAACCAAGUUCAGGUAGGCAACAGCUUACCCACAUCCUGUUAGUAAGGAAUAUAUUUGUUUUGUAGGCUACUGGGUGACUGUAUUUUGUUUUGUUUUGUUGGUUUUUUUUUUUUGUACAAAAUCCAAUUCAUCAAUAAAAGGACAAAUGUCUCACCUAGUGCCAAAAGUACCCUUCCAUCCUACUGCCCUGAAAAUCCCAGAUAUAGUAAAGAAUAAAAUGACAUGACAACAUGGAGAUAAAGAUAUACACCUUCAACAGAUGUCCCAGCAAGGACCUUAACACAAAAGUUUAAAAGCAUACACGACCAUGAAGAAGGAACAGGGAGAGCUAGAUUCAAAUGGGAAAUCAGUAAAAGCUUCAUUAUUCUUUUAAGACCUGUAGGAUGACUGAGGUAUAGCAGAAGGGAGUCGGGGAAACAAAAGCUUCAGACAGCCAGUGUAUUAGUCAGGGUUCUCUAGAGUAACAGAACUCACAGAAUGAAUCUCUAUGUAGAGAGGGGGUUUAGAAUGCCUUACAGACCACAGUCCAGCUAAUCCAGCAAUGGCUGGCUGUGAACCAAAAGUCCAAGAAUCCAGAAGCUGCUCAGUCCUCGAGGCUAUAUGUCUCAGCUGGUCUUCAGUAGAAUCCUGAAGAAGUAGGCUCUAACGCCAGUGAAGGAAGGGACAUGUUAGCAAGAUGAGGGCAAACAGGCAAAGAGCAAAACUUCCUUUUUCCAUGACCUUGUAUAGACUUCCAGCAGCAGGUGUAGCCCAGGUUAACGGUGUGCCUUCCCACCUCUAGAUCCAUAUUAGAGGCUUGUCUUUUCCCAGCUCAAAAGAUCGGGAUUAAAAUCAUGUCUUCCUAACUCAAAGAUCCAGAUUAGAAGUGGAUCUUCCUAUUUCAAAUUAAGCAAAAAAAAAAAAAAAAAAAAAGAAAAAGAAAAAGAAAAAAAAAUCCCUCAAAGUUAUGCCCUCCAUUUUUGGGGUUUUAGUUCCAAAUGUAGUCAAGUUAAUGACCAAGAAUAGCUACCACAGCUAGGCAUGGUGUGAGUGAAAGAGUGGAAAGAACUUGGUAUGGUUGAGGUUCCACAGAGGACAGAGUGACCAGAAUGUAGUGGCCAGGAGUUGAAGCCAUGGGAAGAGCAGGCCUUGUGGUCUGCCACAGAGGGGUCUGGAUCUUAUGCUAAGUAUGGUGACAGCCUCCAAAGGGAUUUCCUUUUUCCCUUUUAGUUUUUGUAAACGUUAUUGUUGCUCUGUGUGUGUGUGUGUGUGUGUGUGUGUGUGUGUGUGUGUGUGUGUGAGAGAGAGAGAGAGAGAGAGAGAGAGAGAGAGAGAGAGAGAGAGAGAGAGAGAGAGAGAGAGAGAGACUUUGUGGAAUUGGUUCUCUUUCUGCCUCCUGAGUCCCGGAGAUUGAACUGGGGUUAUGUGAUCUGGAGGCAUGUGGCCUUCCUGAAACACUGAGUUGUCAUCUCAGUCCAGCUUUUCUUUCUUUUUUUUGUUUUGUUUUGUUUUGUUUUUCGAGACAGGGUUUCUCUGUGUAGCUUUGGAGCCUGUCCUGGACUAGCUCUGCCUCCCGAGUGCUGGGAUUACAGGUGUGCGCCACCACCGCCCGGCCCAGCUUUUCUUUUAAAUAAAGUUACUUAGGUUCUGGUGAGAUGACGUGCUGGUGGAAGGUGUUUGCUGCAAACCUGACUCAGGUCCUCUUCCUGGAACCCAUGUAAAGGUGGAAGAAACAGCCGACUCCAUGAAGUUGUUCCCUGGCCUCUAUGGUGUGCUGUUGCCCUCCCCCCACCCAAGAAAAAAUAAAUUCUACUUAGGUAAAUGUGAGUCUCAUAUCCAGAGCAAAUUGAGCCUUUGGCACACACACCAUGAACUCUUUUGAGUUUCAAAGGUCUAUUCUUGCAAAAUUCUUCGAGAAGUCAUGUAAUGAGAGUCUUUACAUUUUAAUAUAGCAGGAGCGGGAAGUGCAGGUGCUGUGAUGUACAGGCAGAGGUCAGAGGACAACUUGCAGGAGUCACCUCUCUCCUUCACCAUGUGGAUCCUGGGGCUCAGACUCAGGGCCUCAGGCUUAGCACCAGCUUCCUUUACUGGGUGAGUCAUCUUGCCAGUCCCAGUGAGAGACAUUUUAAACACCAUCAACUAAAAUACUAUCCGUCACUACCUAGAAAGAGAAAUCAGCAGAUUACUCACGAAACUUAUGUCUUAAUAAAAUAUGCCUAUGCAGGGAGGAGGGGACUGGACCUGCCUCGACUGAAUCUACCAGGUUGAGCUGAAUCCCCAGGGGAGUCCUUGCCCUGGAGGAGAUGGGAAUGGGAAGUGGGCUGUGGGGAGGGCAGUGGCGGGAAGGAGAGAGGACAGGGGAAUCCGUGGCUGAUAUGUAAAAUUAAAUCAAAUUAUAAAAUAAAAUAUGCUUAUCAAUCACUAUCCUAAGAAUUAUAAUCUUGUCAGACUUCCACUUGACAGACUAUGGUGAUACCAGAGAAAUCAAAGUCUUAAUUUGUCAGAAAACCAAAUGCUGCUGUUCCUGGGUCAACAGAAGAGACUUGCUACAUGACAACGAACUAUCAAGUAGGAAGCGGGUUACUAAUAGAUUCGCUUUUAUAGAAUAUAUACUUAUAAGACAUUAUCCUGAGAGUUAUAAAUCCCACUGGCUUUCAUUGGAACAACUAUAUAUCCACUUAAAUAGUAACGUAAUGCAAACUUGAACUUGUUCUAUAAGGAAGAUCAGAAUGUUAUUGCUCUCUUAAUAAAGUAUUUUACUGAUUUUGUAAAGAAUGGAAAUACUUGCUGCAAGCUGAGUAAAAUGGGGAUACUUUAUAAGAUUUAUCUCUAAUCUUCGGUUAUAAAACAUCAUAAGAAGUAAUUAUAUCAAACUUACUUUGGAACCGUUCUAUAAUCUCUGCAUUGAUAGCGAUUCAAGAAGAAAUUCCAGUUACUUUAGUAGAAAGAAAUUCCAGUUACUUUAGUAAAAAGGUUGAUUGGCCAGACUUUUCAUCGCUAUGACAGAUCAAAUAACAUCAGAGAACCAAGUUUCAGGAAUUUAGUCCAUAGUCCAUGGUCUGUUGCUUCUCAGUCAUGGUGAAGGAGACAUCAUAGUGAUAGGAACUUGCAUCAGAGACCACUUACCUCCUUAUGAUAUGCAGGGAGCAGAGAAAGGGAAGAGGGAACAGUGGACAAGAUACAGCCCCCAAAGAUAUUCCCUAGAAAACCCCACAAGCUGGGGCUCAACCUCCACUAUAUAAACUUGUCAGGGGGCACUCUAUAAUUCAAGCCAUACAUAGCAUUCUGUGCUGGGUCCCCAAAGGCAUAGUGUCCAUCUCACUAUGCAAAGUGUAGUUAGCCAAUCUCUAAGAAUACUGUCGUGAUAACAAUUCUGACAGUGUUCAGGAGGCCAGUCUGAAACUCUCCUUUGAGACUCAGGGAAAACUCCUAGCUGUGAGCCCCUGUAAAAUCAUAAACAAAUUGUAUAUUUCCAAGGUACAAUGGUAUAGCGUAAACAUUUCCAUUCCCCAAAAGGAAGACUAGAAGGAAUGUAAGGAGGGGUCACAUCAAAGCAAGACUGAAACAUCCUGGGAAGCAUUAGUUCCCAUAGCUUUGUGCCCCACAUAUAAGGCAUGUGAUGUCAUGACAUAAGCUUGUUUUCCUGAGCAUACUGGCUGUUUGUAGAUCACAUGACCUCUUUCUUGGGCUGGCUGCACUUGCUUCUUGCAGCCUUGCUCGGCAGAUGUUCUGUGGGGGGCCAUCCCUCACCCCCACAUUUCCCCAGAGUACUCUUGAGUAGGAGCAGCAGGAAAUAUUAGUUAGAAGGAUAGAGGGGAGAGAAACAGAUAGAAAAUACAGGAUAGCCUCCAGAGGGCCUGGAUCCUAAUCCAUUGGGUCUUGACUGUCUCUGCCCCAGGGCAUUUAAAGGAAAGUGAAGGGGUGGAACAGAAGACCUUCCCCCCAGCACAGCCAAGUGCAGACCAUCUCAGACACCUGCACUCAGGCCUGUGGUCUGAUCAUCCUCUCUAUGCAGACCUGCUGGGUAAAGCCACUAGGAAACCUAAAAAUGGGCUCCGGCAAUGUUCCGUAUAACCAACAUGUCAAAGAUCCCAAGGUCUUCACUGCAGCUUGUUAGAAACUUUAAUAGCUGUCUCAAUGAUUUUGUCACUAUCCUCUUCAUACCACCCCCCAUUGUUCAUGUUAUCAUAUCAGUUGAGAUUUCAUCUUUGUAUGCCAAAUAAUUUUGGAUUAUGUAUUUUAACUUCAUGUAAUAAGAUUCUGUCUUUUUAAAGUCCCAUGGAAGAUACUUACUUCAAGAUUUUUACUUCAGUAGGAAAUCAGUUAAGUCAUACCACCCAUUGUCACAAGCCACCUGUGUGCUGUGGCUCAGCAUGUUGGGAUGACAGUUGGAUCUGUCUAGCUAUGCUCCAUGUGUUGGCCACUCUGGGGUUUGACCUGUUGUUCACAUCUACAAGGCUUUUUUUUGUUGUUCUUGUUGUUGGUUUUUCGAGACAGGGUUUCUCUGUAUAGCUUUGGAGCCUGUCCUGGAACUCACUCUGUAGCCCAGGCUGGCCUCGAACUCACAGAGAUCCACCUGCCUCUGCCUCCCGAGUGCUGGGAUUAAAGGCAUGUGCCACCACCGCCCGGCUCUGCAAGGCUUUUAUGUGCUUGCCAGGAUAAGAUCUGCAUGUACACAGCUCGGAAGUGAACUUGGGUUACUUCCAGGGCUCCUUCCUCUUUACGGCCUCCAUUUCCCUCUGGAAACUGAUGCAUCAGGACUGUGUCUACAUCUGCAAGUAGAACCAAGUGAAGGGAAUCACCAAAAGAAGAAGCAACAGCCAGUCACUGGCUCCCUUGAUGAUGAACCAUCGUGUUUCCUGAUACAUUUGAUUGAUUUAUGUAUUUGUUCAUUUGUAAUUUAAUUUUGUUGUGUAUAUUAGCGGGUGUGGGGUGUGGGGAUCUGUGUGUGGAUGCCUAAGUACUGUGGCAUCAUGUGGAGGUCAGAGGACAGCUUUCAGGAGGCAGUUCUCUCUUUCCACAGUAUGAGUUCCUGAAACAGCUCAGGUCCCCUGGCUUUCUGGCAGGUGCGUGUGGUGCUAAGCCGUCUCAUUGGCCGAUAUGACUGUUUUUAAAGAGUUAUAAAUAUCCUUGUAAGGUUUCUUUUUUCCCUUUACAGUGCCUUUAUGUAAUUCUGUUUACAUUCAGCUCUAUAUACUUCCUAUAUGUCUCUGGUACUUCCUUUUAAUAUAUGUUAUUUAAUAAUGUGAUUAAUCUAAGUGUGAUUUAAUAAAAUACCAUUUUCAACUAUA